AAUAAAUAGGUGUUAAAAAAAAAGUUUGCCCUUAAGAGACACCAAAGCUCCUGUCCCUGGGGAGAGUAGGCCCCGGACAGGGAAGUCAUCUUGGCCUGCACUGUGGAUGCGGUGCUCCAGCCUGGCGCCCCGGAGAGAUGCAAUAAGCUGCAAAACCUGACUCCCUAUGUGUAGAGAGCCUGGAGCGUGGACAUCUCCUUGCUGUAGGGUCUGUACCAGGAGGUGAGCACGAGAGGACCGGUGGAGACUGAGGCGCCAUCUCCCCCUUCGCAGCUCUCCCCCCAUGGGAAAUUUCUCCAGAGUGUGUGGCACCCAGAGGACAUGACUUGGGCACCCCACAAUUCCCACGGUCCCACAUCCGGUGUACAGAAGAGCACUCGGUGAAUCCCAGCAAAUGAAUCCAGGAGAAAGGCGGAGAUGUCGCUCUCCCUGUUAAAACCAGGUCACUCUCCCUCUCCAUUUUUUCCCCUGCUCCUCUCCCAGAUGCCCAGACCAGGGCUGCGCUGUGUCUCUGGUUAAAUAUAUGGAAUUAUCUAUUACAAUACUUCAAUAUUUAUUACAUUGAUUUCUCUUUAAAUGCUUUGUAAAUCAUAGCAAAAAAUAAUGGCCUUCCAACAGAGAGUCAUAUACCGUAAUCAACUGGAAGAAAGUCGGCAUUGUAAUUUAAAAUAAAAAAAAUCCUUAUGUGA